CCUACGGGGGGCUGCAGUGGGGGAUAUUGCACAAUGGGGGAAACCCUGAUGCAGCGACGCCGCGUGUGGGAAGACGGUCCUCUGGAUUGUAAACCACUGUCCCCAGGGACGAAGAUGACGUUACCUGGGGAGGAAGCUCCGGCUAACUACGUGCCAGCAGCCGCGGUAAUACGGAGGGUGCAAGCGUUACUCGGAAUCACUGGGCGUAAAGAGCGCGUAGGCGGGAUAGCAAGUCAGAUGUGAAAUCCUAUGGCUUAACGUGGGAACUGCCUUUGAAACUGGCAAACUGGAGUGUGUGAGAGGAUAGUGGAAUUCCAGGUGUAGGAGUGAAAUCCGUAGAUAUCUGGAGGAACAUCAGUGGCGAAGGCGACUAGCUGGAACAUAACUGACGCUGAGGAGCGAAAGCGUGGGUAGCAAACAGGAUUAGAUACCCGAGUAGUC
rnacentral:rRNA from 1 species